rnacentral:rRNA from 1 species
GAUGAACGCUGGCGGCGUGCCUAAUACAUGCAAGUCGAGCGAACAGACGAGGAGCUUGCUCCUCUGACGUUAGCGGCGGACGGGUGAGUAACACGUGGAUAACCUACCUAUAAGACUGGGAUAACUUCGGGAAACCGGAGCUAAUACCGGAUAAUAUAUUGAACCGCAUGGUUCAAUAGUGAAAGACGGUUUUGCUGUCACUUAUAGAUGGAUCCGCGCCGCAUUAGCUAGUUGGUAAGGUAACGGCUUACCAAGGCAACGAUGCGUAGCCGACCUGAGAGGGUGAUCGGCCCCACUGGACCUGAGACACGGUCCAGACUCCUACGGGAGGCAGCAGUAGGGAAUCUUCCGCAAUGGGCGAAAGCCUGACGGAGCAACGCCGCGUGGGUGAUGAAGGUCUUCGGAUCGUAAAACUCUGUUAUUAGGGAAGAACAAAUGUGUAAGUAACUAUGCACGUCUUGACGGUACCUAAUCAGAAAGCCACGGCUAACUACGU